rnacentral:lncRNA from 1 species
AUGUUUGUCACUAUCCUGUUUGGAGACAGCAGGAUGGAAAUGUUCAAUCUCAACUGUAAGCUGAUAAACUUCACUCGUCAUUUGAAGCAGACGUGCAGUCUGGACUUGAAUGAGUGUGUGGACUUGAUGGACAGCAGUGGCUCAGUGAUGAACUUAGAGGCGAGGCAGCACAGCGUGUCUCUGGCCAGCAGCAUCCUGGCACAGAGACAAUACUACGUCCUCCUGCGCGUCUGCCGCGAUGAUGAUACUGGGGCUCGUAAAUAUGUUUCUCUCUUAAACAACUAUAGCCAGAGUCAUCCAGAAUUAACAGAGUUGUUGAGGAAACUGUCAAACCCCCAAAAGGAGCAAGACAGACAGAUCAGAGGAAGAUGGAAACAGAGGAGCCUAACUGCCAACCAAACCAGGAGCAAGAAUGGUGCCGCAAAUAACAGGAGCCAUAAAAUGUAGUAAUGAGUCACUACACACUUUUUAUGUCUGAAUUCUUCAGUCACUUUUUUGUGUUAGUGAUUAAGUAAUCUGGGAUAUAUCUUUGGCAAAUGUAUGUUUCCUAUUUUAACAAUCUUUGUUGCCAACUGGGUUGUAGGUGGUCCUGUAUUAGAGGAUGUUUGAGGACGGAUGUUCUCAAACAGGAUGUUUGUUUAGAUUACAUCCACAGUAACACUCAAAGAUGUAUUAUUAUUAUCAUUAUUAUUAUUGACAUUUCUCUAUAGUGGACAAAUUGAUGUGUAAACUCAAUAUCAGAAGCCUGUGUAUCCAGACGUUGACCAGGUACAACAACUAUGGGAUGAAGAAAAUUAAAAUAAAUUAACAGGGAAAGUACUCAUCAGGAAAAAUAACAUUACAUUAUGGAUUUUCUGUUGUGGCAUUGUGCAUAGGCUUGUUGUGUUACACUGUAUUAAUAUUGUAGACGGACCAGUGUUGGCACAUUUGUUGUAGGUGUGAGUCUAUAGAAAGAAAACAUAUUUUUUGAUUGUGAUUUCCUCAGCACACAUUUAACAAUAAGGAAUAUGAUGCAUGAGUGAGGGGAGACCCCUGAGACCUGCCAGGGGUUAGAUAUGUUAACUGACAUACAUCCUGCAUUAAGGACUUGUUUGAAUAAAUGAGUGAACCAGCUGUGUGGUUACUUUUCAAUGUGAGCUGUGACCAGCUGUGAGUAGGAUUCACUUUAGAUUCGGACAUGGUGAGUGUAGUAAGUAUGAAUUUGUUAGAGUAGCAGUAACAAAAUAAUAGAAAGACAUUUUUAAUAACUGCAACAACGCAAUUCACACUGUUUAUAAUUGUAUGUCUCUAUAGGUGAAAGUCGAUGAAUUGCAUAAAGAAAAGAUAGCAUGACACGUGGCAAACACUGCAACAUGAGGAUAUGUAAACAUGUGGAGCCAGGGCUGUAGCACAGUGUUAAUGACAAACCAUUCAGCUUUGGGAAAAGCUGCUUCUGUAAUUCCAACAAGCACAAUGUAAAUUUGUGAUGGUACAGUAUUUUGUUAUUGCUAUAUUUUAACUUCCCUCAGACGAUCUUUACGAGAAACUAAUUUAAAAUUAAUAAUUACAAAUAUAAUUUCGAUGCAGUACGUCGAAUGACUCACUGUUGGUGGAGGAGACCUUUGUCGGUUUAUUUUCACCACGAAUGAAUUAAUCAUUUACUUUGUUGUGUGUUUAAAAAUGUUUUUGUGUGAAGACCACAUGUGGCUACUGCACCGUAUGGAAAGCCAAAAGCGCAAAUAUCGUCUUAGAAAAUGCGCCUCCGCACGUCAAAAACGGACGUGUCAAGACGUAAAAACGUGUCAAGAUGGCUUUUCUUGCCGUGAUAAAACGUUAUAUUUGUACGUGUUGACACGUCAUUAACGACACGUGAUCUGGUUAUUGGCCAACGAGAGACUUAGGAUAACGGCAGUCAUACGUAUUUAUGAAGUCGGCGGUCCAAAAAUGAUGCAUGAGUCACGUGAUAAAUAAAUUACUGACGUUGCGCAAACAUCACUGGCACGUAUAGUCGACACACCCCCGACACAUGACCCUGCUCAUUACCCGACACGUAUUAGUAGUGAUGUAUGUGAAUCGUGAGCCAGGGGGCAUGUCCUUUGGAUGGAACUAGUGUUUGCAGCGGGGGUGCAGGGAACCAGGCAUUCAGUUGACUCCGAGGCAAACGAGAAAUAGAGAUGGCACUACGGAACUUUCUGACUAACUGCAACCAAACCUUUCGAUAUUGUGCGCUGUUAGCCACAUCAGACGACGAUGAAACGAGACGAGCAUCUUUGGCAAGGUAAGAUAAAUCACUUUUUCUAUUAAACAGCCAUGUCGGCUGAGCUCCUGCAGAGUUAGAUAGUUACUAGCUCAUGAAACACCCUUGGCUUGAUAAUUACAUGUGACUUAAUACCCCGUGCUGACUACAGUGUCUACCCUGUUGAGCCAAGUCUCUAUUUUCAUGUUGUAUUUAGCAAGGUGACUCAUUUUUAUCGUUCAAAUGCGCUACACAGGGUACACCUCUGAUGUUCGGCCACUAGAUGGCAGUAUAAGACCACAAAUUGCAGAGGGGUCCCUAUAUAAGGCAAAAACAAUUAGAUUUCUCUGGGAAUAUUUCAGUGGCUUGUUAAUCUUAGGACUACUUGGUGAACCAGCUGUGUUUAAAGACCAAGGAAGUGGAGUCAGGAGGCCAAUGAGGCCCUGCAGGACUGCUCUGAGUCUACGGAGUGGGAUGUGCUUUGUGAACACAUGGGGAGGACAUAAACAAUGCGACUGACUGCAUAACAGAAUACACCAAUGGACUUCUGAACAAAAAGAGAAAAGAAAAGAAAAGGACAGACUACAGCUGAGGGGGGUGCAGCACGAGCUGAUGGAGAGUAAAGAUGCCUACAGGAGGAAGCUGGAGGCUAGUUGUUCAGGAGGCAGACAUCAGGGAGAUAGCAAACGAGUUAAACCUGUUUCUUUAACAGGUUUAGGUCAGAGUCCUCUCAGUAUGCCAUCUCGUCACACCUCCACUGCCUCCAAUGCUCCAGUCCCUCCUCCCCCCUUUCUCCCCUGUGGUUGCCAGCUGACUUUUCUUUGCUGUGGUCUAUUCUUCUUCUCCCAUUUUAAGGCCAGAUAUAUGGUCUUAGGUUAGCUAUUCAACAUUGUUUACCCAUAUUUGGUUUGUCUUUGAAACUCUUUAAAAUUUUCUCACAGGAUAAACAAUCCAACCAUUACGUUCAUCUCCUUACAAGCUGCAGCUGCGGUCAGGAUGUGCAUGUCGCAGUCUUCUCAUCUUUAGGCAGUGGAUGUCCUUUAGAAAGAAUAUCACAAAUCAACAUUAUUGUGUUGUUGCAUGUGUUGAAUUUCAUUAUUCAUUCAUUUCUUCUUUUCUUCAGCGGGGAGCAGCAUGAUCCAGAGCAGGAAUCACAGUCACCAUAUUGUGAAGUGUUGAACCAACCAACCCUGAACCGGUGACAAGCAGCAGUGCAGCAGUCCUUUCCAUGACCAUUCAGCUUUGCCACAUGCAGGAAAAGAAGCUUAGCACCCCCCAUCACACAAAACCCAUUCCCCUCUAUCUAAUUGACUCUCUGCCUCUUUUAAUUCAUUGAUCAUCCUCCAGCUUCAGCCUUGUUUUAGCUCAAUUUAAUGAUUA